rnacentral:miRNA from 1 species
UGUGUUGACUUGUGUGCGCAUGCGUGUGUACACACACACACACACACACACACACACACACACACACACACACACACACACAC